GGGAUUGUGGCUCAGAGGUAGAGCUCUUGCCUAGCAUUCAUGAGGCACUGGGUUCGAUCCUCAGCAACCACA
rfam:Ictidomys tridecemlineatus contig013338, whole genome shotgun sequence.